AACACAGGGCCAGAAGAGAAGCAGAGGACUUUGUGGCUAAGGACAUGGUGGAUAUGCUUCUGAGAUUGGCUGAUGAUCCUGAUGUUGAGGUUAAGCUCACUACUGAUGGGAUCAAAGGGUUUACACAGGUUAGUGUUAUUUGAGUUCAUGAACAUAUCCAACCAUUCAAAUUAGGCCUGUUCUAUUGAAACCUCAUGAUAAUUUUGCUUGUUUUGUUGUUUCAUGGUCAGGACCUAAUAGCUGGUGGUACAGAUACCUCAGCUACUACUCUGGAAUGGGCGAUGUCCGAGGUCUUGAGGCAGCCAAACAUAGCUAAAAAGGCAACUGAAGAGCUGGAUAGAGUUAUAGGGAGAGAUAGAUGGGUGGAGGAGAAAGACAUUGCCCAACUUCCUUACAUAGAUGCAAUUGUGAAGGAGACAAUGAGGCUACACCCUAUUGUUGUCCUGCUGGCACCUCACCUGGCUCUUCAAGAUUGCAAUGUAGCUGGCUAUGAUAUUCGCAGAGGAACCCGAGUCCUAGUAAACACAUGGAGCAUAGGGAGGGACCCCAACAUAUGGGAUGCACCCGAGGAAUUUCGACCAGAGAGGUUCCUAGGGAAGGCAAUUGAUGUGAAGGGACAAAGCUUUGAGCUGCUGCCAUUUGGUUCAGGGCGGAGGAUGUGCCCUGGAUACAGCCUUGGCCUAAAGAUGAUUCAAUCGAGCUUGGCUAACAUGUUGCAUGGAUUCCACUGGAAAUUGCCUUGGGAUAUGAAGACAGAAGAGCUGAACAUGGAGGAAGUUUUUGGACUGACAACUCCAAGGAAGGUCCCACUUGUUGCUGUCAUGGAGCCUAGACUCCAAAACCAUCUUUACUAGUCGUGCCUUAGACCUAUGUUUUUGAAGAUGAUCGGAAAAGUGUCCUUCUAGCUCGAUUGCAUGGGCUGGUUUUUAUAUAACAGGGUUGCCUGGCCAUGUGGUAGGCUGGUCAGUCAUUUUCCUGCCUUUUACAAGAAUACAAAAAUGCCUUUUGACUAAUAGGCAAAGGCAGUCAGCUUUCCAUCAAGCGUUUGGUGUGUUAUUAGUUCACCUCGUCAGGUAUUCUUCUUGGAGGGUAGCACGUUGGGGAUGUACUGCUUUUUGGCACCUCCAGUUUUAUUAAUAUUAUUCAGUUGUGUGUAAUGGUUUUGAUCCGUUAAUUGUAUUUCUUCUGUUCUCUAUCCAUGAAUGCAUUAGUGGCUUGCUUAAUUAAUAACAAACCUUUGAAAAAUGAGGUUACUGAUGUUGUCAAAGGAUACACAUAAUUGUAUUUAGACACAUGGCAGAGUGAUCCCUGUAUAAGAAACAAAAUAAGGAAUAUGGGAGUUUAUAGAGAUACGACACCUCGUACACUACUACAUCUCAUCUUCAUCAACCCUAGACCUUUAUCACCUUUUAACAUGUCGGCAUGCUGCAUGCCACUUCUAAUUUUGUUGGUGAAUAAAGCGUAUGUGAUUCUAUUGGAUGAUUAGCUUCUUAUUGUCAAAAAGGCGCAAAAAAUAUCUUACAGUAAGCAAAAAAGAUUAUCGACAGGCUGCCAUGCAUAUCAUAUGCUUAAAACAUUCUUGUCCUUAUUCAAAUUCAGUCACUUUCCUUAAUCUUUCAUCAAUCUAAUUUCUUCCUUAAGUGCUAUUCCAACAACCCUAUCUUAUCUUAAAUUUAGAGACAUUUAUAUAAUUUGAAAUUUUAAAAAGGCUUUUUUUUAAAAAUAAAUAUUUAUAUAAUUUUAAAAUUUUGUGAGAAAACAAAUGAGAUAUUUUCAUUAUUUUGGUCUUUGCAAUCACCCACUAUCUUUAUUUAUUUCCCAUAUUAUAAAAAAUUGAAAAGAUAAAAUAAAGAAAAUAAAUACAGAAAGUCUUCAAAGAACAGAUUACUUUGUUGUACCAUUUAAAAGUAAGAGUCUAACCUUGAUCCAUCUUUAUAUAUGUAAAUUAAAAUUCUAAAUAUAAUUUAGGUGGUGAUAAAUUUUAUUUCAAAUUUAAAAACUUAGGAGUAUUUACAAAUGUUCAUCAUAAAAUAAAAGAAAAAUAAAAGGAAAGUAAAGAGGCAAGAUGGAGAUGGGGAAAAAAAUUAGGGAAAAUAAUAAUAAUAAUAAUAAUAAUAAUAAUAAUAAUAAUAAUAAUAAUUAAAUAGACAUAGGAAAAUAAUUUUUAGAGUUUUAGUUUAAAUAAAUAAUUGAAAAAAAUGGAUUAUAAAUAUAAUUGAUAAUAAGAGUUUUAUAUAAAUUGGCAAUUUCCUAUAGAUGAAAAUAAUAUUACUUAUAUAGAAAAUUAGGAAUUAGAGUAUUAAUAAUUACAUCAAAGAGAAUAAUAUUAAUGCAAAUGGUAUCAAGAACGUCAAAUACUAAUUUUUAAUUUUUGAUAAAUAGCCGAUUGAAAUAAUUAUUCUUUGAACUAUGUUAUGUUAUGUGUGGAUUAAGUUCUUUAUGAUCAAGUAAUGUUUUUAUGAAAUGUAUUAUGAUUUUAAAUUGGGAAUUUCGAUCAUAUGAUUUAUUGAUCAUUGUGUAAGUGGAUUUUAGUUUAUAAUUUAUUAUAAUGACUUUGAAAUUUUGAUUAUUAGUGGUCUUGCUCAAUAGAGUAUAAAUUAUUAACCUUCGUUACCCUUGAUAGGGGGUAGUGAUGCUAUGCAAUCCUAACCAAUAAGAUGCUAUUAACCUUUGGUAUGCUAUUGAUUGAAUGUUGAUGGGGGAACAAAAUGAAGCUACCCAUCUAGUGCAAAUUCCAUUAUUUGGUUAUAGUGUUAUUAUCAGCGAAAUAGAGUAAAAUAUUUAUUUAUAAAAUCAUUUUGAACAUGAACUUCUACUAUUAAGUGUAUUAUAUUGUUUUAUACUUUUUGAAGUGUCAAUUUUUUUUCAAAAAAAAAAUGUAAACUUAAUUAUUAAAUUAAAUGAGUAGAUUUUUCUUAUUGACUUAUUUUUUCUUAUCGUGUUAAAUAUCGAAUUCACUCUUUUUUUAUAAUUCCACUUUUCAAUUACAAGUGAUGCCAAUGAAGAGAGAUUGUAAUAUAAUUAAGAGUGUUUUUAUUAUAAACAGUUUUGAAAUAGAUAUUGUUUAUGAUUAUUAACUUAAGACUAAUUGUAGUUGUAACUUCUAAAAAUUAAAUUUUAUAGAAUCAUUGAAGUCAUCGUUGAGAUAUUUUAAUUAUUUUUGGUUUUGCUAGUCAACUUAAUUUAUGUAUUAAGUUAUUGGAUUUGACAUGUGAAAUGGCUGUGAUGCUCUUAGCCUUCGGGUUCGAGGUAUCAGAGCCAUUGUCAUCACUUCACGGCCUUCCAACUGGGUAGGCUUGCUCGAAGUCACACCCUCAAAUCACUAGCAUGAAAGCUAGCUUUUACCUUGUUAGGUGAACCGGCUUAGGAAACUGUAAACUGAGAUCCAAUCAAUAAGCAAGAAGUUCAAUUAUUGAAGUUCUUAUUCAUUUGAGUGCUCUUCGACUACUUUAUGUAAAAAAUUUCAUGAAAGGGCCAAGAGGAUAUACAUAUGAUCAGGCAUGGAUGAUGCUUGGUGAUCCCAUACAGUACUCUCACGUGAUAUACGGGCCAAGGAUUAACGAGUAUUCUUGUAGUAAUAACGUUAAGAUAUGAACCCUAAUGGAAAUACUAACUAGAACACGCACGAAAGUAUUAAGCUAUGGUAUCCAUUAGCAUUGGCCAUUAGUUGAAGGUUGCAGUCCUCUAUAGAUCUCCAUUAAUGAUUCUUUUGUGUUAAAUUUAUAAAUGUUUUCUCCAUACUUUUGUGUCAUAUUGGUGGACCCUGGAAGAUCCGUCCUUACAACCAGCCAUAUCAGUAAGACAUUUUUAUUGGGUUUCUGGUAAAUAAAUAUUAGCAUAAAUUGGAAGGCGGUGGCUGUCCAUUUCUGCAGUGAUACACCAUUGUCUUUUUUAAGCUUUUAGUAUUUAAUAAAAUAUUCAAGCUUUUGUAAAUGGUUGAAUAACACUAUCAACAUGUGAUUCACAUGAGUUUAAUAUGUGAUUUCAACCAUGGCCAAUCAUGGGCAACCUAAACCUCAUUGGCCAUCUCCCCCACCGGUCCCUCCACAAACUGUCCCAAAAAUAUGGACAAAUAAUGGAGCUUCGAUUUGGGUCUUUCCCAGUUGUAGUGGCCUCAUCUUCAGAAAUGGAAAAGCAAUUCUUAAAGACAAACGAUCACCUCUUUGCCUCCAGGCCUCACACUGCUGCCGGAAAGUACACUAAUUAUAACUACUCCAACAUCACCUGGGCUCCUUACGGUCCAUACUGGCGCCAAGGGCGUAAAAUCUUCCUCACAGAGAUGUUCAGCUCGAAAAGGCUCGAGUCUUAUGAGUACAUUCGGGUUGAAGAAAGGCAGGCUUUCAUCUCCCGCCUCUACGCAUUGUCAGGAAAGCCAGUCAUGCUUAAAGAACAUCUCUCUCGCGUUACUCUCAGCGUUAUAAGCAGAAUUGUACUGGGGGAGAAGUACUUCAGUGAGUUCGAAUCCGGGAGGUCAAUGGUGACGGUGGAAGAGUGUCAGAAGAUGCUGGUUGAGUUGCUCUUGCUUAAUGGUGUGUUGAAUAUUGGGGAUUGGAUACCGUGGAUCGCAUUCUUGGACUUGCAGGGGUAUGUGAAGAGGAUGAAGGCUUUGCGCCAUAAAUUUGAUAGGUUUUAUGAUCAUGUGCUUGAGAAACACAGGGCCAGGAGAGAAGCAGAGGACUUUGUGGCUAGGACAUGGUGGAUAUGCUUCUGAGAUUGGCUGAUGAUCCUGAUAUUGAGGUUAAGCUCACUACUGAUGGGAUCAAAGGGUUUACACAGGUUAGUGUUAUAUGAGUUCAUGAACAUAUCCAACCAUUCAAAUUAGGCCUAUUCUAUUGAAACCUCGUGAUAAUUUUGCUUGUUUUGUUGUUUCAUGGUCAAGACCUAAUAGCUGGUGGUACAGAUACCUCAGCUACUACUCUGGAAUGGGCGAUGUCCGAGGUCUUGAGGCAGCCAAACAUAGCUAACAAGGCAACCGAAGAGCUGGAUAGAGUUAUAGGGAGAAAUAGAUGGGUGGAAGAGAAAGACAUUCCCCAACUUCCUUACAUAGAUGCAAUUGUGAAGGAGACAAUGAGGCUACACCCUGUUGCUGUCCUGCUUGCCCCUCACCUGGCUCUUCAGGACUGCCAUGUAGCUGGCUAUGAUAUUCGCAAAGGAACCCGAGUCCUAAUAAACACAUGGAGCAUAGGGCGGGACCCCAAUCUAUGGGAUGCACCUGAGGAAUUUUUCCCAGAGAGGUUCCUAGGGAAGGCAAUUGAUGUAAAGGGGCAAAACUUUGAGCUACUGCCAUUUGGUUCAGGGCGGAGGAUGUGUCCUGGCUACAGCCUUGCCCUAAAGAUGAUUGGAUCCAGCUUGGCUAACAUGUUGCAUGGAUUCCACUGGAAAUUGCCUGGAGAUAUGAAGCCAGAAGAGCUGAACAUUGAGGAAGUGUUUGGACUGACAACUCCAAGGAAGGUCCCACUUGUUGCUUUCAUGGAGCCUAGACUCCCAAGUCAUCUUUACUAGUCGUGCCUUAGACCUAUGUUUUCUUAAUAUUAUUCAGUUGUGUGCAAUGGUUUUAGUCUGUUAAUUCUAUUUCUCCUGUUCUCUAUCCAUGAAUGCAUUAGUGGCUUGCUCAAUUGAUAACAAACAUUACAAAAAUGAGGUUACGGUUAACAAAAGAUACACCUAAUGCCAAACUUUUCAAUUGUGUCGAUGGUGUAUAUGUCACUAAUGAUCUCAUUUCUUAGGACUUCAUUUUCUUUUCUCAUGUGGGGGAGGCAGCCAUGAAUCAGUCAGUUGCUUCAUUGUUAAUCAAAGAAAAUGAGGCGAAUUUGAAAGAAUUGAUUCAGAUAGCUAAAAUGUUCUCCUCAUAAGUAUUCAUACACUUUAUGCCUAAAAUGUGACCCACUAUGAAAUACAAGACAACCCUCAGUAAAUCUCUAUUCAUAAUAUGAUCUAUAGUUCUACCCACUUUUCUACCCUUCCUGCUUCUGGGAUGUAGGGAGAGUUUGGAUUGUUUAUGAGAUUCUGGCGUAGAGUGGUUUUGAAUAAGUGGUUGGGGAUUUUGGUGAUAUGAUCCUAUGCCUAUGGCCUCGACGGGAACUUUCUUUUUUGGGUUUCUUCUGUGCUUCUCCUUCUUCCUUUGUCUCCUUCUUAUGCAAGUCAUUUUUGCUUUGGACCGUGCACGCAAAGACCCCAACAGGAAUGUCAUGUGGGCCGAAGUGACUUGAGACUAAAUUGAGUUUGUGUCACUUGGUCCAACCCACUUAAGAUCCUAAUUAAUUAAUUAACUCUAAUGUGCUUAAAUAAAUUAACUAACCUAAUUCAGAAAGUAAGUUUAUAAGAUUUAGUGUAAUAUUACAUUUUUACCAGAAUACCUUUAUUGUACACUUAUGAAUUAUAUACCCAAAAUAUCCUUAAAGCAAGUGCCACAAUGAAACAGGAGCUCAAGUGAGGGCCACUUCUGAAGUUGACUCAACUACACUCAAAAUCCAAUUCUGGCUCCCUAAACUCAACUACUUUCAAAAUAUUGGUUCUUCAAAAUCCAAUUCUGAAGUUAGACUCAACAUUCCAUUCCAUUAAAAAAAGUUAACUACACUCUAGUAUCCUAUGAAAUUACAACGAUACAAAGCUUGAGUGUAUGACCUACUAUCUAUUACAUGCAAACUCCUCAUGAAUUGAUAUUUGUAAUAUAACAAAGAAUUUAGGUAAAGUCUCUAGAAAACUUUGAAUGGAAGAGUUUAAGUGUUGAUAAAUUUUAUUUAAAAUCGAAAAAUUAGGGAUAUGUACAAAUGUUUAGACGAGGUUUAUAUUUAAUAAAAAAUAAUAAAUAAAAAUAAAAAGCCUUUAAAGAACUUUGGUAUGAAGAGUUUAGGUGUUUAUAAAUUUUAUUUCAAAUAAAAAAAAUUAGGAAUAUAUACAAAUAUUUAGACGAGAUUCGUAUUGAAUUGAAAAGAGUACAUAAAAGCGGCAAUUAGCUAAAUGGUUAAUAUGGCUUGUUGCGUGUUUGGGUGUUGAAUGGAUGAAACCACAGACAAAUAAAAGGAAAAUAAAGAGGCAUGGUGGAGAGGAGGAAUAAAUUUUGGGGACAAUAAUAUAAUUAAAUAUACACACAAAUAGAUUUUUGAGAGUUUUAGGUUAGAUAAAUAAUUGAAAAAGGUAUAUUAUUAACGUAUUUGGUAAUGGAGUUGUAUACAAAUUGGGAAUUGCCUCCAUAUUAAAAUAAUAUUAAUGCAAGAGUAUUAAGAAUGCUAAAUAAUAAUUUUAGAUAAAUAGCGCAUCAAAAUUUUUUGAACUAUGUUAUGCCAGGUAAGUUCACUGUGGUCACGUGCUUUAAAAAUUCGACUGACUUUUAUUAUAUAAGAGUUAAUAGUGCAAUAAAUCAUUUUGUAAUUCCUAAUCAAUUUGUAAUUAAAGUAUUAAAAUAUUUAAAUUUUCUAAAGUGGAUCAAUUAAUAAUAUUCUUCUAAAAUGCGAUAUGAUUUGUUCUUUGGUUUUUGAAAUAAAUUAAAAAUAUCAUAUGAUUUAUUGAUUAUUAUGUGAGUGGAUUUUAGUUCUCAAUUUAUUAUAUAUAAUGACUUUGAAACUUUGGUUAUUGGUGGCGGAUAAAUUGUUGAUCUUCACUACCUUUGACGAGGGUAGUAAUGUAGUAUAACCCUAACCAGUAAGGAUGUUAUUAGCCUUGGUACACCAUAUAUUAAAAAUCAUUCCCUCCAUCAAUAAAAUGAAUAAAUUGAGGCUAACUACCUUACGUAAGUCUCACUAUUUGGAUAUAGUGAAUCAAAGUAAAAUAUUUAUUUAUGAAAUUAUUUUGAAUACGAACCAAUAAUGCAAGUGUAUUAUAUUAUUUUAUAUUUAAAUUGAAAGUGCCAAUUUUUUUUUUAAAGAAAUAUAUCUCAAAAGAUUUAAUGUUAUAUUAUAUUUUAGCCUCCUUGUUGAACUCUCCUAGAAAACUGUAGAGUGAGAUCGAAUCAAACGAGCAGGAAUUCAAUUAUUAAAAUACUUAUUCAUUAAUAAUGCAAGUGUAUUAUAUUAUUUUAUAUUUAAAUUGAAAGUGCCAAUUUUUUUUUAAAAGAAAUAUAUCUCAAAAGAUUUAAUGUUAUAUUAUAUUUUAGCCUCCUUGUUGAACUCUCCUAGAAAACUGUAGAGUGAGAUCGAAUCAAACGAGCAAGAAUUCAAUUAUUAAAAUACUUAUUCAUUUGGCUGUAUACAAAAAUUUCAUGGAAGGGCAAAGAAGAUGUAGAUAUGAUCAGGCAUGGAUGAUGGUGUUCCCAUACAGUACUCUCACGUGAUGAACGGGGCAAGGAUUAACUAGAACACAAAAGUAUUAAACUAUACAUACAAGAUCCGUUAGGGUUUUGGCCAUUGGCUGAAGAUUGCAGUCCUGUAUAGAUCUCCAUUGAUUCUUUUGUGAUAAAUUUACAAACGUUUUCUCCAUGCUUUUGUGUCAUUUUGGUGGACCCCGGAAGAUCCAUUAUUAAAACCAGCCAUAUCAGUAAGGAAUGAUAAUAUAUUUUGGAAGGUGGGUGUACGUCUAUUUCUGAAGUGAAAAAGGCACCAUUGUUUUUUAAUGUUUAAGCGUUUAAGUUAUGGUUGAUUAAUAUUAACAAAUACGAUUCACAUGAGAGUUGGGACUAAUAUGUGAUUUCCACAAUCUUAUUUGCUUAUAAAUAGUCCCCCAUUCCUCAAACUUACACCACCACCAUCACCACCAAUGGAGGCUCCUUCUUGUGUAGUUUUGGCCCUGGUGUGGCUAGCUGCAGCAGCCCUUCUCUCAAAACUUUUCAGUUUCCGGCCAGCCCACAAGCAAAACCUUCCACCAGGCCCCAAACCAUGGCGGAUCAUCGGCAACCUAAACCUCAUUGGCCAUCUCCCCCACCUGUCCCUCCACAAACUGUCCCAAAAAUAUGGACAAAUAAUGCAGCUUCAAUUCGGGUCCUUCCCAGUUGUAGUGGCCUCGUCUCCAGAAAUGGCAAGGCAGUUCUUAAAGACAAAUGAUCACCUCUUUGCCUCUAGGCCUCAGACUGCUGCUGGCAAGUACACUGCUUAUAACUACUCCAACAUCACCUGGGCACCUUACGGUCCAUGCUGGCGCCAGGGGCGUAAAAUCUUCCACACAGAGCUGUUCAGCUGGAAAAGGCUCGAGUCUUGUGAAUAUAUUCGGGUCGAAGAAAGGCGGGCUUUCGUCUCCCGCCUCUAUGCGUUGUCAGGAAAGCCAGUCAUGCUUAAAGACCAUCUCUCUCGCGUUACUCUCAGCGUUAUAAGCAGAAUUGUACUGGGGGAGAAGUACUUCAAUGAGUCUGAAUCCGGGAGGUCAAUAGUGACGGUGGAAGAGUUCCAGGAGAUGCUGGAUGAGUUGUUCUUGCUUAAUGGUGUGUUGAAUAUUGGGGAUUGGAUACCUUGGAUUGCAUUCUUGGACUUGCAAGGGUAUGUGAAGAGGAUGAAGGCCUUGCGUGAUAAAUUUGAUAGGCUUUUUGAUCAUGUGAUUGAGAAACACAGGGCCAGAAGAGAAGCAGCGGACUUUGUGGCUAAGGAUAUGGUGGAUAUGCUUCUGAGAUUGGCUGAUGAUCCUGAUCUUGAGGUUAAGCUCGGUACUGAUGGGGUCAAAGGGCUUACCCUGGUUAGUGUUAUAUGAGUUAUGAACAUAUCCAGCCAUUCAAAUUAGUAUAUUCUAUUGAAAUCUCAUGAUAAUUUUGCUUGUUUUGUUGUUUCAUGGUCAGGACCUGCUUGCUGGUGGUACAGAUACCUCAGCUACUACUAUGGAAUGGGCAAUGUCUGAGAUCUUGAGGCAGCCAAGCAUAGCUACGAAGGCAACUGAAGAGCUGGAUAGAGUCAUAGGGAGAGACAGAUGGGUGGAAGAGAAAGACAUCCCCCAACUUCCUUACAUAGAUGCAAUUGUGAAGGAGACAAUGAGGCUACACCCUGUUGCUGUCCUGCUUGCCCCUCACCUGGCUCUUCAAGACUGCAAUGUAUCUGGCUAUGAUAUUCGCAAAGGAACCCGAGUCCUAGUAAACGCAUGGAGCAUAGGGAGGGACCCCAACAUAUGGGAUGCACCGGAGGAAUUUCGCCCAGAGAGGUUCCUAGGGAAGGCAAUUGAUGUGAA
rnacentral:lncRNA from 1 species